GGGGACUGGCGGCGGACGGAGCGCUCGCCAACCCGGUCAGGUCCGGAAGGAAGCAGCCGUAACGAGUUCGUCCCCGGGUCGCCUCACCAGUC
rnacentral:SRP_RNA from 1 species